GACGAACGCUGGCGGCGUGCUUAACACAUGCAAGUCGAACGGAAAGGCCCUGCUUUUGUGGGGUGCUCGAGUGGCGAACGGGUGAGUAACACGUGAGUAACCUGCCCUUGACUUUGGGAUAACUUCAGGAAACUGGGGCUAAUACCGGAUAGGAGCUCCUGCUGCAUGGUGGGGGUUGGAAAGUUUCGGCGGUUGGGGAUGGACUCGCGGCUUAUCAGCUUGUUGGUGGGGUAGUGGCUUACCAAGGCUUUGACGGGUAGCCGGCCUGAGAGGGUGACCGGCCACAUUGGGACUGAGAUACGGCCCAGACUCCUACGGGAGGAAGCAGUGGGGAAUAUUGCACAAUGGGCGGAACCCUGAUGCAGCAACGCCGCGUGCGGGAUGACGGCCUUCGGGUUGUAACCCGCUUUCGCCUGUGACGAAGCGUGAGUGGCGGUAAUGGGUAAAGAAGCACCGGCUAACUACGUG
rnacentral:rRNA from 1 species